UGAUUAAAGUUUGGAGGUUAGUAUUUAGAAGGUGGGGUUGAGUUUGGGGUCAAUAUUAACUUCUUUCAUGCAAUCACAGUCAUUUCAUAAUUUUACCAAUAAAUACUAUGAUAUUUAUUUUGUUUCAUUCCAUUUGGGUUUAAAGUUUAUAUUUGAAUUUAUGGUAUAUAUUUGGCUUUAGUUUUAGUGAUUAGUGUUUAGGCUUUAUUAUUUGAAUGUUGGGGUUGAAGUUGAGGUCAACAUAAACUUCUUUCAUGGAAAUAUAGUCAUUUCAUAAUUUCACCAAUAUGUACUAUACUAUUUAUUAUGUUCCAUUCCAUUGAGGUUUAGGUUUUACAUUUGCAUUUAGGUUUUAUAUUUGAGUUUAUGGUUUAGUGAUUAGAGUUUAGAUUUACUAUUUUGAGUUGAUGGUGGAAUUGGGAUAUAGUUUAUUAUUUAGGGCCUAGGAUGGGUUUGGUGCCCUAUUAUAUUUUGAUGAUAUGUAAUAGAAUACUCCGAAAUUUUCAAAUCAUGUGUUAAUGCAUUCUUGGACUUGAUAUUUGUAAGUAAAUGAAAUAGCCCUUUUUUACGGGUUUUAAUUUUACAUCACUCGUUUUACUGCAUAUAUACAGUAAAAAUACAUUUGGUAACUUUCCCUUUUGACGUGGCUUCCUCUUCUUCUUUUAAAUGGAAUAACUGUUAAACAUUAUUGGCCAUAUAUUCCAUCGCUUACGUAUUUGCUCUCCAAACUGACAACGUCAUCACCUAUCAGACGUUAACUGGGAACCUGUUAAAUAAUGGAAAGAUAAAACAGACUGGGAAGUGGUGUAAAAAUCUGAC
rnacentral:lncRNA from 1 species